CGUAUCGCUGUCAAUUGAGUAUUUUAUUCGUAUUAAAAAUGCAUAAUCAAUGUUAACUUUUUGUGAACGUCGAAUAUUGAUUAAAUAGACAAUUGUUGUGUUCACGAUUAAAAGCGUUUCGUCAAUCGUGCAAGACGUAGACGGGUUGUACUGAAAUAGGUUAGAAUCUCAGUGAGUAUAUAAAUUUUAAUGCUGAGAAAAUUACUUUUUACAUUCGCUUGAAAGAUUCGAAGCGCGAUAUAUACAAUCGACCAGUAUGCUUAUUCGGUAAUUUUUAACGAUAAUAUCGCUAUCGUCGUAUGCUGCACGUAUGUUGCACGGUUAUCGCAUGAUACCUACACAACGACACGUAACGACGGCAAUAUUGUCGUUAGAAAGUUACAAAAUACAGAUACAGGAAUUUCUCAUAUAAAAUUGCCGCCAGAGCUUAGUCGAAAAUAAAUUCGUACACAAUUUCGUGUGUGAUUACAUAUUCUUAAUUAAAAUACCUGAUUAAUCAUUGAGCGCUUCGUUCACACUGCACAUUUUGUGCUGAUGUAGUCGUAAAAGAGAUUGGUAAGAAAAUAGCAACGCGUCGAUAUAUCGAUAUCGAUUAUUAAUUAUUAAGAUAUUGGCGACAUUGUCAAGCAAUGCUGCCGCCCUGCGAUCGCCAUGUCAAUUUUUAUCGUCUUUAUCAUCGCGUCGGUUUGGUUUAAACAGUACAAACGUUUCUCCAUUAAUUGCACAUAUUAUUCGUACUGAAAGUGCAUAAUGAGUUUUUUGUCGGAAGUGCCGAUUAAAGUGACGGGCGAUGACCGAGAAUGUUCGCGAUUAAUAGCAUUUUUUGUGCCAUCAGACGACCGUCGUGCAUCGUCUGGCCGACGGAGCGUGGAUUUAGGUUAUAAUUUUAACGAGUAUACAAAUUUUGAUGCUGUAAAUGUUUGCUCAAUCGAAGCGUGAUGUAUCUUUUAUUAGAUAUAGCGUGUGUUGAAAACUCAGUUCGUCGAAAUGAAUCGGGCAAAACAUAGCUUGUUGUGUACGUGUCCAUACCUGCCGUCAAAACAAUCAUCGUUUGUCUCGCUCGUUCUAGUAUGUGUACAGUGUCACGAGGACUAUCGAAUGUGUAAAAUGAAAACAAUUGGUCACUUUUAUGCGUGGACAUGUUGCGGUACAAAGUAUCUCGGGUUAUCUCGCGUUUGCGUUCCGUGUACCAUGGCGACGUAAAUCUGUGAUUUUCGAAAGUGAAGUGCACGGAUUGACUUUCGUUUGGUAGUGCAUGUAACAACAUAAAUGCGGGUUUCCGGUCAUUCAUCAUUCUUCGAUGGAGCUGGUGCGAAGCAGCCUAAGGCAGAAUCUGCAACGGGUAGAACAAAUUACAAUAUUCUAGCUGGUGACUGCAUACUUGGCUAGAGUACAACGACCGGUGUAGGCUUUCUCGUUAGCAUCAUCAAAUAGCUACGAGGAGUAAGAUCGAUCCUUCCGGCCCGGAUGCACUAUCGCACGAAAACUCGAUGGACUCUGCCUUAGAAUGCAAAUAGAACAUUUUUGCAAAUUGGCUGAAAUACGUUCGGAAUUUGCCAUUUCAUCAUACGAUAGCGGGAAUUGAAGCGAACCGCUACUCUGCAGUUUAAGCAAAGUUCGAGGUAGCCUACUUGCGUAAUAUCUAACGAGAUACAAAAAUGUAUCUGCGUCAUUAAUCUGCGCGCGAUAAUCGUGUAAUAAUUUACGCACUUAAUUUUGCGAUUAGCAAAUAUUUUCGCUUCAACAGUCUCUUAAAAAUAUUUGUGAAUAUAAUCCUGUGAAAAUUGCGAGGUUACAAUUUCAUAAAUUACCAUUUCGCAAAUAAAAGAAAGUGAAAAUUUUCUUUUGAAUAAUUUCGGCGAUAAAAACGUCAAGUUGAUGUUCAAAAGUUUUUAAUCUAAAAAUCUCCAACACAUUCCACAAAUAUUUAAAUAAUUAAACUAAGGCUGAUUUAUUUUUUCAUUCAUUUAGUGCGCUAACUGAAGGAAUUUAAUCAAACUUCCGUUUCGCGCUUCAAAAGCAUUUUAUGCAGCUAUCCUUCCACAUCAUUGUCUUUCCGAAGUAUUCGGACCCGCGCUAUCCCACCAGCUCGACCUCGGGAGAGGUCGAUCCCUCUUGUCCGAAUGUUUGUCGGAGCUAUACGUUAAUAAAACGAAUUCGAGGCCGUCCUUUGCUCAGCCCGCCACGAAGGUCGGGGGCGGGCCCAAAAGCCGGCGGAGCAUUCGGUAGGUAGACAAGGCCCGACCUCGAACUCCGCCGUGAAUCGAGGUCCUUCGCCACACGUUUUCGUCUCUUUCGGUCUCUCCUCGGUGUCUUCUUUUUCCUCUCGCGAAAAAGCCCAUGGCGGAUUCUCGACUUCUCGCCGAGUCUGCCGCCUCCGCCGCCAAGAAUUAUCGUACCGCAACGUGAUACGUGCGUUUGCGAAACCGACGCCCGCACGAUACACCCGACAGUAAGUAUCGCUCGAUAUAUGUACGUCAGCCUAGAUUAUUACUUCGUGCCUUCGUUUGUGUUCUAAUGUAUUGCUGACUCAUGUCCGGUCACUUGAAAUACACAUACCUAAACUGAUAUAUUUCACUGAACGCAAUACUCUUGGGAAAGGAGAGCUAACGUUCCCGAAAUUCAAUCGAAAGAAGAUAGCUAUUAUAACAGAUUAAAAAUCUAAAUUAUAUUUGCAAUAGUUUGGAAGAGUCUCGAUGGAUUAUUUGAAAAAUAAAUAUUUUUAUCGCCACACUUUUUCAAAGCGCCACCGCGCGAGCAUUUUUGCUCAUUUAACGCAACACGGGCAGUUUGGAGCUAAUUAAUUCUUCAUUGAUCUCAGCGCCUGUCGUUUCUAUACGAUAAACGUUCAUUAUGCCUAUUUUCACGUUCGGAUAUUUAUCACCCGCUCUUCGCUAAAAUUAUGAGCGCUCUCGAUCCAUUCUUUCGCUCAGCGUAUCACGCGAUAAGCUGAUAUCGCCGUAGCGUGAAUCGUUAACCCGGCAACAAUGCCGAAAGCUAAGUACCUUUCACGGGAAUUCGGUGCGAUCCUAAUAGAGCUGUCCUAUCUCGCCACGCAUUGUCUCAGCAUCGCCGAUAAAUCCGCGUAUUCGCGGCGAGGUGCAUUGUCGCGUUCCCGCGUCGCACGCACGCACACGCACGGACGCGGAUUAAGCGCGCCCGUUGCGGAUUUAUAAGCGGACCCGGGUGGGCGUCGCGGCGCGGACAAUGCCAGGCGCAACGACAUUAGGCGAAUGCAGUUUCACCUUCUCUACGUCGUGAAAUUAUCUAUGCGGCAAUACGCGUUUACGACUUUUAUCCUUAACUCUUGAGAGUGUCGCGUCAUGAAACGCGUUGCGUCGCGUUAAAUUACAAUAGCGAAUGCGUGAUAGACGUUUGCGCUUUCGAAUAUGCGUUUAUUGAAAUAAUACAUUUGCGAUUAAAAAGUCUAUGACGGACAGUUAUUAUCAGCGCCACCCAGAAAAUUAUUUUUAAAACGACAAUCUUGUUUUAUAGCUGUAGUUUUCAUAUAAUAAUAUUAUAUAUGGUUGAUAACGAUUUUCUUUUUACAUAUAAUCUCUUUUAUUGAC